rnacentral:rRNA from 1 species
CUAAUGGCGCCGGGUGCGUACGCGUGGGAAUCUGCCCCUUGGUUCGGAUACAGUUGGAAACGACUGCUAAUACCGGAUGAUGACGUAGGUCCAAAGAUUUAUCGCCGAGGGAUGAGCCCGCGUAGGAUUAGGUAGUUGGUGUGGUAAAGGCGCACCAAGCCGACGAUCCUUAGCUGGUCUGAGAGGAUGAUCAGCCACACUGGGACUGAGACACGGCCCAGACUCCUACGGGAGGCAGCAGUGGGGAAUAUUGGACAAUGGGCGAAAGCCUGAUCCAGCAAUGCCGCGUGAGUGAUGAAGGCCUUAGGGUUGUAAAGCUCUUUUACCCGGGAUGAUAAUGACAGUACCGGGAGAAUAAGCUCCGGCUAACUCCGUGCCAGCAGCCGCGGUAAUACCGAGGGAGCUAGCGUUAUUCGGAAUUACUGGGCGUAAAGCGCACGUAGGCAGCUUUGUAAGUAAGAGGUGAAAGCCCAGAGCUCAACUCUGGAAUUGCCUUUUAGACUGCAUCGCUUGAAUCAUGGAGAGGUCAGUG